rnacentral:rRNA from 1 species
GACGGAGGAUGCAAGCGUUAUCCGGAAUUAUUGGGCGUAAAGCGUCCGCAGGUGGCAGUUCAAGUCUGCUGCCAAAGACCGGGGCUUAACUUCGGAAAGGCAGUGGAAACUGAACAGCUAGAGUAUGGUAGGGGCAGAGGGAAUUCCUGGUGUAGCGGUGAAAUGCGUAGAGAUCAGGAAGAACAUCGGUGGCGAAGGCGCUCUGCUGGACCAUAACUGACACUCAGGGACGAAAGCUAGGGGAGCGAAUGGG